rnacentral:rRNA from 1 species
AGACUUUGAUUCUGGCUCAGAUUGAACGCUGGCGGCGUGCUUAACACAUGCAAGUCGAGCGAGAAAGCUCUCUUCGGAGAGUGAGUAGAGCGGCGCACGGGUGAGUAACGCGUGGAUAAUCUGCCCUGAAGAUCGGGAUAACAGCUGGAAACGACUGCUAAUACCGUAUAAUCUGCAUAUUUAACUUUAUGUGGGAAAGAUGGCCUCUACUUGUACGCUAUCGCUUUUGGAUGAGUCCGCGUCUCAUUAGCUUGUUGGUGGGGUAAUGGCCUACCAAGGCAACGAUGAGUAGCUGGUCUGAGAGGAUGAUCAGCCACACUGGGACUGAAACACGGCCCAGACUCCUACGGGAGGCAGCAGUGGGGAAUAUUGCGCAAUGGGGGAAACCCUGACGCAGCGACGCCGCGUGUAGGAAGAAGGCCUUCGGGUCGUAAACUACUGUCAAGAGGGAAGAAACCGCAGGGCAUUAAUACGGCUCUGCGCUGACGGUACCUCUAGAGGAAGCACCGGCUAACUCCCGUGCCAGCAGCCGCGGUAAUACGGAGGGUGCGAGCGUUAAUCGGAAUCACUGGGCGUAAAGCGUGCGUAGGCCG